GGCAGAUAUGAACAGAGGGAAGAUUAUGUGAUGAGAAUAGGAGAAUGCCACAAGACAAGGACACCAUGGACUAACAGCAGCUGGAAGACACAGAGAACGAUCCUCCCUGUCAGGUUUCAGAGAGAGCACUGCCUGCUGACAUCUUGAUGUUAGACUUCUAGCCUCUGAAAUGAAUGGGAAAAUCCACAGAAGCAGAAGCAGAUUAUUGGUACCGGGGACUGGAGAUACAGGGCUGUAUAAGUGACUGCCUAAUGCAUAUGGAGUUUGCUCUUGGAGCAUCAAAAAAGUCUCAUAACUAAGCAGAGAUCCAGGUCCAGCACUGACCACAGGGGAUCCAUGACCCCUUCUUCCAUCCAAGAGCACCAGUGGACACGUAUUCUGCAGCCUUCAUAGUAAGUUGUUUCUGGCAAGAGAAGGACAACAAACUGCUAAAGGAACAAGGAUAGACUCCGCUUCUUAAAUAUUGGCAAACAGGCAGCGAGGGCUGGAGACACUUUCUCAGGCUCCUCACCAUCCCAGGCAACGAAGGUGUUGAUAACGUGUUGAUUUGAUAUUGAGAAGAAGCAACUAAGAAGAGCGGGAACUUCCGGAGAACAAUGUUAAAUCAGGAGACACUAUUCUCUGCCUACAUUAAUCAAAUGUCUAUAAAUUAAGGUGUGCACCUUUCUUUCAUGAUGAAGUAUAAAAUUAUUUAGACUUAUUAUAUUUAACAUAAAACUAUUACACUUCAUUUCUUUAUUGUACCCUGAAAACUAUAAUACUUCAUUUUUACAUCUUCAUCAAAAAUACAAUUUAUGUUUAUGGUAAAAUUUUAUCAAAUCCAGUGCAGAAUUAUUUACGGUACAAUGUGAAAAUCUCCCAUUCCAAAAUAAUUCUAUCCCCAGAAACAGCUUUUGUGAACAGUUUGGUGUAUAAGCUUCCAGCACGUUCUGGUUGUUGGCUAUGACUCUGCAGUCCCCUGUGGUCUCAUUGUACUAGCCUCUUAGAUUUCCUUGGAUGUGGUCCUGGAAUUAGAAGGAUUUUCUGAAAAGUAGCACUGAAGUGGAGAAAACUAUGGUCCACAAGUAAAAAUUAAGGCUCUCUCCUGAUUUUCUGUGUCCAGAGUCUAUGGGUACAUAUAGGGUUAAUACCUUCUUUUCAAACCCCAUCCAGUGGUAAGGGCAACAUCCCUUAUCACUAUUUUAGCAGAAUUUGAUUAGGUAUCUAUUCUGGUCAUCUCCUCAAUUAUGUCAAAAUUGCAGCUUGGAAUGCGUUUUGUCAUCACGAUCUUCAACUUUCAUAGCACUAACAUCUUUAUGUCUCUGGGAUAAGAAACGGCAUUUUUAGUGAUUGAAUGUUAGACUCUUUGCCAAUUUGUUAUGUUAUUUAAUUCUCAUAAAACUGUGCAGGGAUAUUUCCGUUUAAUGCAUGAGGAAAUCGAAGCUCAUCUUCUAACUCUUCUCAGUGUCCACAAAGGGGUUGCCUAGAUAUCAAAUUCAGCUUUAUUGGAAAAAAAGCCACACUCUUUCAUUUACACCACAUUUUUUUCCUACACUGUAUGGCCUGAUAUUAUUAAAUGUAUAUAAUAAAUGUGUAUAAUGGUAAAUGCUGCUUACAGAAUCUCCACAUUCUUCCUUUCUUUCUUACUCCACCUUUCCUUAUUCCUUUUCUUUCUUUCCUCUCCUUUUUCUUCAGUAAAGACAUUGAGCCACUUUCCUUAAGAGGGUCAUUGUUGGGGCUGACCCUGUGGCUGAGUGGUUAAGUUCACCUGCUCUGCUUCGGUGGCCCAGGGUUCACUGGUUCAGAUCCUGGGCGUGGACCUAUGCACUGCUCAUCAAGCCAUGCUGUGGUGCAACCCACAUAGAAGAACUAGAAUGACUUACAACUAGGAUAUACAACUAUGUACUGGGGCUUUGGGGGUAAAAAAAUGAAAAAAAAAGGAAGAUUGGCAACAGAUAUUAUGUCAGGGCCAAUCUUCCUCAUCAAAAAAAGAAGAAGAAGACGAUCAUUGUUUAAUAAUUCUUGGUGUGGAAGGACACCAUAAGUGAGCAUCUGGACCAGGAAAAGCAAUUGAGUCUUUUCUAGAAUGGAUUGAGAUAUCAUAAGGAAGUAACAAGGAGAGUCAAAUGAUCCACCAGCAAAGCUGAACUGGAGAAAAAUAAAAUCUAAUAUCCAGUCUUAUGUGGCUUAAUGGAGAACAAAAGUAUCAGAGCUAGGAGCAAUAAUUCAGGUAUAGGACGUUCAAAUUAAAACAGACAGCAAGAGCCAAAUUACCAACUCUAUUUCUCACAUUUGCUGACUACGUCAUGUGAAGGUUUUCUAAUUCAAUGUACUCAUUCAAUACUCAUAUUUGCUCCAGAUGGAGCUCCAAACUACUUUUUUUUUUUUUUUUGGCUGAGGGAGAUUAGCCAAUCCUCCUCUAUUUUGUAUGUGGGUUGCCACCACAGCAUGGCUGAUGAGUGGUGUAGGUCCAUACCCAGGAUCCGAACCCACAAACCCAAAGCAGAGCACACCAAAUUUAACCAGUAGGCCACCAGGCUGGCCCCCUUCAAGCUACCUUUUAAAGGAAUAAGUUGGGGAGGUUUCACAAACAUGGUGAUAAGACCAGUGAGUCUGAAAGGUAAAUUUAUUGUACAUGAACUUCUGUAGCAUUCCAACGUUUGGCUCAGAUAGAAAGCAGAUAUGAAUGAUUGUGAUCAGAACAGGAUGGAUAUCACACAAUCAUGGCGAAUGGUAGAAACUCUGCUUCAUGCUGAAACUUAGAAGGAUAGCUUACUAGACUGGGCCAGUGGAGGAAAUUGAGGGGAAUGGCAGAGGGAUGUCUGUGAUACUGGUCAUAGGCAUAAAGGAAAACAUGGUUUACUGACAGUAAUGAAGGGUGGAGUCUUGCAAUUUAAGUACCAGUUAAUAAUAGAAGAAUAGAAUGGGCUAAGAAAAUGACAUCUGAGAAAAGUACCACCAGAUUUUCACUUCCCAGCGAAGGUCAGUUGCUUAUGGUUUCUAAUGUCAUGAGGUCAAAUUCAAUACAGGUAGCUGGGGUCAAGUUAAAGAUAUUUUCCAAGGCAUCAUAACCUAUAAAAGUUUAUUAAUUAUGUGAUGGUUCUCCACCUAAAUAGAAAUAGUAAACCACAGGUUCAAGACAGGAAGUCU
ensembl:lncRNA